AGCGUGUAGGUGUGUGUUCCAGGUAAAUCCGGUUCACUUUAACACUGAGGCGUGACGACGAGGCACUACGGUGCUGAAGCAACAAAUGCCCUGCUUCCAGGAAAAGCCUCUAAGCAUCAGGUAACAUCAAAUCGUACCCCAAACCGACACAGGUGGUCAGGUAGAGAAUACCAAGGCGCUUGAGAGAACUCGGGUGAAGGAACUAGGCAAAAUGGUGCCGUAACUUCGGGAGAAGGCACGCUGACACGUAGGUGAAGUGAUUUACUCAUGGAGCUGAAGUCAGUCGAAGAUACCAGCUGGCUGCAACUGUUUAUUAAAAACACAGCACUGUGCAAACACGAAAGUGGACGUAUACGGUGUGACGCCUGCCCGGUGCCGGAAGGUUAAUUGAUGGGGUCAGCGCAAGCGAAGCUCCUGAUCGAAGCCCCGGUAAACGGCGGCCGUAACUAUAACGGUCCUAAGGUAGCGAAAUUCCUUGUCGGGUAAGUUCCGACCUGCACGAAUGGCGUAAUGAUGGCCAGGCUGUCUCCACCCGAGACUCAGUGAAAUUGAACUCGCUGUGAAGAUGCAGUGUACCCGCGGCAAGACGGAAAGACCCCGUGAACCUUUACUAUAGCUUGACACUGAACAUUGAGCCUUGAUGUGUAGGAUAGGUGGGAGGCUUUGAAGUGUGGACGCCAGUCUGCAUGGAGCCGACCUUGAAAUACCACCCUUUAAUGUUUGAUGUUCUAACGUGGACCCGUAAUCCGGGUUGCGGACAGUGUCUGGUGGGUAGUUUGACUGGGGCGGUCUCCUCCUAAAGAGUAACGGAGGAGCACGAAGGUUGGCUAAUCCUGGUCGGACAUCAGGAGGUUAGUGCAAUGGCAUAAGCCAGCUUGACUGCGAGCGUGACGGCGCGAGCAGGUGCGAAAGCAGGUCAUAGUGAUCCGGUGGUUCUGAAUGGAAGGGCCAUCGCUCAACGGAUAAAAGGUACUCCGGGGAUAACAGGCUGAUACCGCCCAAGAGUUCAUAUCGACGGCGGUGUUUGGCACCUCGAUGUCGGCUCAUCACAUCCUGGGGCUGAAGUAGGUCCCAAGGGUAUGGCUGUUCGCCAUUUAAAGUGGUACGCGAGCUGGGUUUAGAACGUCGUGAGACAGUUCGGUCCCUAUCUGCCGUGGGCGCUGGAGAACUGAGGGGGGCUGCUCCUAGUACGAGAGGACCGGAGUGGACGCAUCACUGGUGUUCGGGUUGUCAUGCCAAUGGCACUGCCCGGUAGCUAAAUGCGGAAGAGAUAAGUGCUGAAAGCAUCUAAGCACGAAACUUGCCCCGAGAUGAGUUCUCCCUGAGACUUUAAGUCUCCUGAAGGAACGUUGAAGACGACGACGUUGAUA
rnacentral:rRNA from 1 species